GCAAGAUUGGAACUCAAGGGAAUUGACGGGGGCCUACAACUAGUGGUGGAGCAUGUGGUUUAAUGCGAUAAUCCGCGCAAAACCUUACCAAUUUUUGAAUAAAAUAAUAAAAUAAAGUAGUCUUUAAAGACUGCUGAGUUAUGUAUUUUACAGGUGUUGCACGACUGUCGUCAGCUCGUGUCGUGAGAUGUUUGGUUAAUUCCUUUAACGAGCGCAACUCUUGUCUGUAAUCAGUUACAGAUUUUAAUCAUAAUGGUUUUAAAGAUACCGGUAAUGAUAAAUUUGAGAAAGGUGAGAAUUAAGUCAAGUCAAUGUGGCCCUUAUAAAUUGGGCUACACACGUGCUACAAUGAAAACUACAAAAAGUAACAAAAAUGCAAAUUUUAGUUAAUCUUUUAAAAGUUUUCUCAGUUCGGAUUGUAACCUGCAACUCGGUUACAUGAAGGUGGAAUCACUAGUAAUCGCAAAUCAGCAUGUUGCGGUGAAUAUGUUACUUGGCCUUGU
rnacentral:rRNA from 1 species